rnacentral:ribozyme from 1 species
GAGUCAGAAGGAAAAAAGAAAAAGAAAAGGAAAAAAUAGAAAAAUGCUCA